rfam:Oryza nivara chromosome 5, whole genome shotgun sequence.
AAUAAGUGCAAUUUUACACUAUUCACAUUCAACAUUUAACCGUUCGUCUUAUUUGAAAAAAAAUUAUGAUUAGUAUUUUUAUUGCUAUUAGAUGAUAAAACAUGAAUAGUAUUUUAUGUGUGACUAAAUAUUUUUAAUUUUUUCACAGAUUUUUUAAAUAAGACAGACGAUCAAACGUUGAGCACGGUUAUCUACGGCUACACUUAUU